rnacentral:rRNA from 1 species
GACGAACCGUACGAACGUUAUUCGGAAUCACUGGGCUUAAAGGGUGCGUAGGCGGCGCGACAAGUUGGGUGUGAAAUCCCUCGGCUCAACCGAGGAACUGCGCCCAAAACUGUCGUGCUCGAGGGAGACAGAGGUGAGCGGAACUUAGGGUGGAGCGGUGAAAUGCGUUGAUAUCCUAAGGAACACCGGUGGCGAAAGCGGCUCACUGGACCAUAACUGACGCUGAUGCACGAAAGCUAGGGGAGCAAACAGG